AAAUAGAAUUACUUAAAAAAUUAAUUUAAAAAAAAUAAUUUUAAAAAAAAUAAUUUUAAUUUGAAAAAAAAAGUAGGGUUUAUAAAAAUAGAAUAAGAGGUUAGAGUAAAAAAGUAUUGUAAAAGAAAAUUUAAAUAUUGUGAAAAUUGAAUUUUAAAAAAGAAAUUUGAAUAUUUGUACCUUGUGUAUCAUGGAUUUCUAAAUUUAUACUUAUAAGAAGAAUAUCCCGAAAAAAAAAGAGUUAUAAUUAAAAAAAGUUUUUAUUUCAUUAAAAUUUUUAAAUUAAUUAUAGAGGUGAGAUGCUAUAACGGGUUUUUAUAUCUGGUUAAUUAUAAAAUGAAUUUAAUUCAGGUAAAAAAUAUAGUUAGUUUUUAUACUAAGAAAAUGGGGGGAGAGCUCUAUUUUCAAGAAUAAAUUUGAUAUGAAUUAAAAUUUAAUUGAUUAUUAAAAUUAGGAUUAUAAGUGGUCAUAUUUUUAAAGUGUUUUAACUAAUACAAAUAAUAAAAUAAUUUUUAUAAUUCUAUAAAUACAUAUAUUAGUAAUUUUUUUUUUAAAAUUUUAUAAAAAAAGAAAUAAUGGGAAUAUUAGUAGAAGAUAUUGUAAUAUAGAAAUUUAAAUUGAUAAAUAAAGUUUAAUAAAAUUAUAAAAGUAUUAGAGGAACUCGGCAAAAAUAGUUUCUUGCCUGUUUAACAAAAACAUGUCUGUAUGAAGUUAAAUAGAGUCUAACCUGCCCACUGAAUUUUUUAAAAGGCCGCGGUAUAUUGACUGUGCAAAGGUAGCAUAAUAAUUAGUUUUUUAAUUGAAGGCUUGAAUGAAUGGUUGAACAAAGAAAAAUCUGUCUUUAAUAUUUUUUUUGAAUUUUACAUUUAAGUGAAAAGGCUUAAAUAAAUUUAAGGGACGAUAAGACCCUAUAAAUCUUUACAUUUAUUAAUUUUUUAUUGAUUUAUAUGUGAAUAUAAUAAAGAAAAGAAAUAUGUUGUGUUGGGGUGACAGAGGUAUAGUUUGGAAACUGUCUUAAAAUGAAAACAGAGGUAUUUGAAAAAUAAAAGAUCCUUAGUAUGGAUAAAGAGAUUAAGUUACUUUAGGGAUAACAGCGUUAUUUUUUUUGAGAGUUCAUAUCGAAAAAAAAGUUUGCGACCUCGAUGUUGAAUUAAAUUUUCUUUAUGGUGCAGAAGUUAUAAAAGAGAGUCUGUUCGACUUUUAAAAUUUUACAUGAUUUGAGUUCAAACCGGCGUAAGCCAGGUUGGUUUCUAUCUUUAAAUAAAUAUAUAGGUUACUUUAGUACGAAAGGAUCAAGUGAAUUAAAAUAAUUUUAUUUUUAGCAAAGUUUU
rnacentral:rRNA from 1 species